GAGUUUGAACCUGGCUCAGGACGAACGCUGGCGGCGUGCCUAAUACAUGCAAGUAGAACGCUGAAGAGAGGAGCUUGCUCUUCUUGGAUGAGUUGCGAACGGGUGAGUAACGCGUAGGUAACCUGCCUUGUAGCGGGGGAUAACUAUUGGAAACGAUAGCUAAUACCGCAUAACAAUGGAUGACACAUGUCAUUUAUUUGAAAGGGGCAAUUGCUCCACUACAAGAUGGACCUGCGUUGUAUUAGCUAGUAGGUGAGGUAAUGGCUCACCUAGGCGACGAUACAUAGCCGACCUGAGAGGGUGAUCGGCCACACUGGGACUGAGACACGGCCCAGACUCCUACGGGAGGCAGCAGUAGGGAAUCUUCGGCAAUGGGGGCAACCCUGACCGAGCAACGCCGCGUGAGUGAAGAAGGUUUUCGGAUCGUAAAGCUCUGUUGUAAGUCAAGAACGGGUGUGAGAGUGGAAAGUUCACACUGUGACGGUAGCUUACCAGAAAGGGACGGCUAACUACGUGCCAGCAGCCGCGGUAAUACGUAGGUCCCGAGCGUUGUCCGGAUUUAUUGGGCGUAAAGCGAGCGCAGGCGGUUUGAUAAGUCUGAAGUUAAAGGCUGUGGCUCAACCAUAGUUCGCUUUGGA
rnacentral:rRNA from 1 species